UAGCCGUCUUACAAGGCAAAAUUUCACAGUGUAGCUUUAAGAGAAUGGCUUGAUGCAUCUAUUUCAAGAAAAGGUCUCAGGUUCAUCCUCUAAUUAUUGCUCCAGUGGGAGUGAUGCCAUGUGUAGCUGUGACAACAGAACAGUUAGAGCACAGCUGAGAUAGCGUCUGGAAGAAGGUCUCAAACUCAGAGUGCCACUGUCUAGUUUCUGUUCCUGUCUGAGGACAAACUGGUUCAUACACUGGAAGUCUGCAUGGGUCUGUACAAGCAGGGCAGCCUGCCGUGUCCCCUGCACUUGGCUGGCUGUUCUGAGCUUCGCUGAUUCCUGAAACAGGGAACUUGACACAUCCUGGCAAGUUACACAGAGGUACUUUCUGCUUAUGCAGCAGCUGCUUAACAUCCCUAACAGGCAUUAGUAAAAUACUUCUGAAAAAG